rnacentral:rRNA from 1 species
CCUACGGGAGGCAGCAGUAGGGAAUAUUGCUCAAUGGGGGAAACCCUGAAGCAGCAACGCCGCGUGGGGGAUGAAGGUUUUCGGAUUGUAAACCCCUUUUGUUAGAGAAGAUAAUGACGGUAUCUAACGAAUAAGCACCGGCUAACUCCGUGCCAGCAGCCGCGGUCAUACGGAGGGUGCAAGCGUUACUCGGAAUCACUGGGCGUAAAGAGCGCGUAGGCGGGAUAGCAAGUCAGAUGUGAAAUCCUAUGGCUUAACCAUAGAACUGCAUUUGAAACUGUUAUUCUAGAGUAUGGGAGAGGUAAGUGGAAUGCUUGGUGUAGGGGUAAAAUCCGUAGAGAUCAAGAGGAAUACUCAUUGCGAAGGCGACCUGCUAGAACAUAACUGACGCUGAUGCGCGAAAGCGUGGGGAGCAAACAGGAUUAGAUACCCCAGUAGUC